GUCCCCGUGGCCUAGUGGUUAGCACUGCCGUUUUGUAAAUUUUAGACCAGGGUUCGAAUUCCACCGGGGUGG